CAAAAGCGUAUAUUAAAGUUGUUGCAGUUAAAAAGCUCGUAGUUGAACCUUGGGCUUGGCUGGCCGGUCCAUCUUUUUUGAUGCGUACUGGACCCAGCCGAGCCUUUCCUUCUGGCUAGCCUUUUGGCGAACCAGGACUUUUACUUUGAAAAAAUUGGAGUGUUCAAAGCAGGCCUUUGCUCGAAUAUAUUAGCAUGGAAUAAUAGAAUAGGACGUUAUGGUUCUAUUUUGUUGGUUUCUAGGACCAUCGUAAUGAUUAAUAGGGACGGUCGGGGGUAUCAGUAUUCAGUUGUCAGAGGUGAAAUUCUUGGAUUUACUGAAGACUAACUACUGCGAAAGCAUUUACCAAGGACGUUUUCAUUAA
rnacentral:rRNA from 1 species